AAGCAGCGAAGGUUAACUCGUGGCUUGAAUGGACGAAUCCUCCUGUCGCGAGUCUUUCUCAGAUCCCGGUUCUGACCCGAGAGGAUUCGGACCAAAGCCGCCCGGCGGGACUUCCUUUCUCCCACCCACGUGUCGCAGCCUUGUCUUCCUGAAAUUGAUUUCCAGUUCUUCAAUCUGGACGCAGAUCCUUCGUCGGACGUACGUAGUCUCAGAGAAUGCUUGGGAAGAGAAAGUAGUCCGGCACCAAACCCAGACGCAUUCAGAUACCAAGUUGCAAAGAAGCUUGCAAAAGAGAUUGAGAGAAGACUCAGCGUGAGAGAUUUGUGUGAAGUUGAGAGUCUCUUCUGGUGAGGGCGCCAUAGAACAGGCAUUUUCACGUGCCCCCGGAGUUCGGGCCCUGGGAUAAGGUCAUGCUGCACCCGCGCCAGCCCACAAACCUCCAGAGAAGUGUUUUCUAGGAUAUAGCGCAUAACCGGUAAAUGAGAGUCACAGGUGGGUGGACCACAAACGUACCAGCCCUCCUGGUCCUGAGAAGUGCUUCGCGAUCUUUGAUCUGGUAGACCGCUGAGCUUCUGGAGAACCAAGUUCAGGUGAAAAUGGCACAGGUUGUGAAACGCAGAACUCA